rnacentral:rRNA from 1 species
UACGGAGGGAGCUAGCGUUGUUCGGAAUUACUGGGCGUAAAGCGCGCGUAGGCGGCUCUGUAAGUUAGAGGUGAAAGCCCGGAGCUCAACUCCGGAACUGCCUUUAAGACUGCAUCGCUUGAAUCCGGGAGAGGUGAGUGGAAUUCCGAGUGUAGAGGUGAAAUUCGUAGAUAUUCGGAAGAACACCAGUGGCGAAGGCGGCUCACUGGACCGGCAUUGACGCUGAGGUGCGAAAGCGUGGGGAGCAAACAGG